AGUGAACGCUGGCGGUAGGCCUAACACAUGCAAGUCGAACGGCAGCACAGUAAGAGCUUGCUCUUACGGGUGGCGAGUGGCGGACGGAUGAGGAAUACAUCGGAAUCUACUUUUUCGUGGGGGAUAACGUAGGGAAACUUACGCUAAUACCGCAUACGACCUACGGGUGAAAGCAGUGGAUCUUCGGACCUUGCGCGAUUGAAAGAGCCGAUGUCGGAUUAGCUAGUUGGCGGGGUAAAGGCCCACCAAGGCGACGAUCCGUAGCUGGCCUGAGAGGAUGAUCAGCCACACUGGAACUGAGACACGGUCCAGACUCCUACGGGAGGCAGCAGUGGGGAAUAUUGGACAAUGGGCGCAAGCCUGAUCCAGCCAUACCGCGUGGGUGAAGAAGGCCUUCGGGUUGUAAAGCCCUUUUGUUGGGAAAGAAAAGCAGCAGGUUAAUACCCCGCUGUUCUGACGGUACCCAAAGAAUAAGCACCGGCUAACUUCGUG
rnacentral:rRNA from 1 species